CAUCAACAAAAACAGCAACCGAUUUGCCCAAGAAAGAUUUCAUCUCGAACAUGAUCAACUAUGCAGACUAUUCCAACUUAGGAUAAAAAUUAGUCUUCCACAUGUCAAAGGUGUCAGCUACUAUAAACUUGAUCAAGAAAAUCAUCAACAUGGGAAUUGAAUGCCUGUUCUACAUUUACAAACAACGAUUUUAUUAAUAUCACAGCAGAAUGCCAAUAAGCUAGUUUCAACCUUUAAUGGUACUUGCACAAUGGAGGAUACUGCUGAAAACAAUCUCGAUCUAAUCCAUCCCUGUUUGAAUUAAAUCUUCUGUUCAGGUCCUUACUCCAUCUGGUAGUGCUACUGAUUACUGUACCCAGCAUAAACUCGAACUAUGCACCAAAUUCUUCUUCAGAAGUUAACAGAGGGCUAGAACUCAAUACUUGUUUAAUUACCAAUUAUUCAGUUUUCAACACCAUAACUAUCAUUAUCUACCCCUCACCAUUACAAGCACAAACCUCUUGUCAGUGUUCAAGUUGUAAUCGAGACAGUCGAGCAAAUAAGUUGCUUUUCAACCUUUAGAAGCAUGAGCAAGAUGAGACUGUUGAAGACAUC
rnacentral:lncRNA from 1 species